rnacentral:lncRNA from 7 species
AGAAUAUUUUCAGGCGUCAGCCCAGAAAGAGCAUCUUCCUGAAGAUAAGCAAAUCACCUUUUUACACACGCUUGCUCGUUCAGUUCUUAAUCUUUCUUUUGCAGUUACGUAAAGAGAACGAGGACAACAUUAACCGUGUACCACUGUAACUUUGUAUGAUUGGAAGUGAAGGGACCUCUACCCCUCCAACGCGACCUCUGUGCAGCAGCCCUGCCUGCCGGGUGGUGACAGCUGGGACAGCCUCGCUCGCUGCCAGAAUUCACAUCACCUUACCCCAGACGGUGUGUGCCGUUUGCCAUGGACAAAGUCGCAUCCUUGCAGCAGUAGCCUGCUUAUUGUUUCCAAGUACGUGUGGCCCUUUGGAGAGAAAGGAAUGUGGGGCUGCCCAGUGCCUGGUGUCCCCAUGGGAUGGCACUCUGUCCGUGCCCGAACAGCAGGUGUAAACAGAACUGUCAUUUUACAGGUCAAAAAGGGACUGUGCAAAUUAAUGAUCGGUGCUUCUCUGCUUCUCUCAGCUCUUCACAUAGUCUGACAUUAGAAGGAAUGCUUUGGGUUUUCUUCCCAAAUGCUGCAAAUGACCUUAUUU